AAUGGAAAGAAUUACCUGAAAUGGUCGCAGGUGGUCCGAACGUUCUUAAAAGGGAAAGGCAAAUUGAGUCGCUUGGUACGGGAAGCAAGUGAUCCUAGAUUUGUUGCUUUGGAUGAGGCGGACUCUAUGGUGAUGUCCUGGCUAUGGUCUCAAUGCUACCGGAGAUCAGUGACACAUGUAUGUUCCUAACCACGGCGAAGGAGAUAUGGGAUGCUGUUGGACAGACUUAUUCCAAGGUUCGUGAUGCUGCUUAGAUUUAUGAGAUCAAGAUCAAGAUUUCAGCUACCAAGCAGGGAGAACAUACUGUCACAGAAUAUGCCAACCUCUUGACAAAUUUAUGGCAAGAAAUGGAUCAUUAUCAAUGCAUUAAACUGAAAUGCAGUGAUGAUGCAGCCAUGGUGAAAAGACUCGUAGAGAAAGAGAAAGACAAGAUUUAUGAUUUUCUUGUAGGUCUAAAUACGGAGUUUGAUCUGGUCAGAGUAUAAGUUUUUGGAAAGGAUGAUUUACCCUCAUUAAAUGAGACUAUUGUGAUAAUCUGAGCAGAAGAAGGACGGAGAGGAGUAAUAGUGGAACUUCAGGCUGUUGAGGCAUCGGCUAUGGUCUCAAAAGGGGCAGGUUUUAAAAAUCCCACCCCUAACCAACCGACUAUGAGCAUGAAUGAGGGACCGAACCUGUCUAAAACCACAAGCAGGGAUGCCUUAUAGUGUACAUACUGUAAAAAGCCUUGCCACACGAGAGAGCGCUGCUGGAAGCUUCAUGGAAAGCCACAAUUGCCCAACAAUCAUUGGACCAUGAAGAAUGGACAGCAAAGGGGGCAGGCUCAUAUGACUUACACAGCCCAGAAAGGAGGACAUGCCACAAGAGCAAGGAGAAUUCAAUAAAAGUGAGAUGGAGAAGCUGAGGAAUUUGUUGGGGUCCUUGGAAAAGCCUACUACUACAGGUGCUUGUUCCGUAGCACUCUUAGGACUAAGGAAUUGGGAAGAUGAUUGGACGUGCUAGGAAGGAAGAUGGACUUCACUAUCUUGAAGAAUCAAGCGGGCAAAAUAGAUCUAAGAAUAAUUUAUCUUUGUCAUUGCUUUCUGAGUUUUCAUUUUCAAAUAAAGACAAGAUUUGGCUUUAUCAUCUUCGUCUAGGACAUCCUUCAUUUGGCAUUCUUAAAGUUAUGUUUCCAUUGUUAUUUAAAGGGAUUAAUGAAAAACUUCUUCAUUGUGAUAUUUGUGAACUUGCAAAGCACAAACAUGCUUCUUUUCCUAUAAGCAAUAAAAUAACAUCUAUUCCUUUUUCACUCAUCCAUAAUGAUAUCUGGGCUUCCUGAGCCGAACUUGGGUGGCUUAAGCUGCCACGUUGUUCCAAGCGGAAACAGUUAUAGGAGCUCUUUAAUAUGUUGCGUGCGCGCAUCCUUCCGAGGCGUUGCUGGACGGGAUGGAGGCGGGGACAAUCAUUAAUGUCCCGUCCUCUGAAGCGUGUUGCAUGAUGGAACGCGAGGGGUCAGUUGUUAAUACCCCAUUCUCCGACGAGCCUUUCACGAUGGUCAGCCUUUAGUGCCGCGAUCCGAAAAGAUUUGCUAAGGGAGCUUCUGAGCUUGCCACGCGGCGAGACCCGGCUGCUUGAUCGCUUAGGUUGGCCGAUCAGAGCCGUUGGAGUAGGCUAUAUAAGGCCUAAAAGGGGCCCUAGGGUCCUCAUUGGACCUCUUUUGCCUCCGCUCUUCUUCUUUCCGGCUACCAUUGUAGCUGUGUUCGAGCUUUUCUUUGGGUAUGUUCGGAGCUCCCCGGCGUUCUUCGCGGUGAGAUUUGCUCUUGAUUCAUGGCGGUCCUCCUUUUCUCGGUUAUCUCCUUCGGUGAACCCUCAGAGAGGUAUUUUAUCCUCCUGGCGACUUAUCGCCUAGUCCCUGCGCAGCUUGCUCCGAACUCGUGGAGGAUGAUCAUCGGGUUCCUCGUUGUGUGCCUUGCCUAGAGAUUCCCUACCUCGAUGAAUGUCUUUCGGAGCUACUUCGUACUGAAGACCUGCUCUGCGGAUAAAGGGUGGUGGUAUUUCUCUCCUCGGAGAGACUGCGUACUUUUUCGAGGUGCUCCUUUCUCCAUUCAUGGAUGGAAGGAGUUCUUUCUUUCCUCUGAGCCAUCAUGGGGGUUCGACCCGACCUAGGGCUCGCCGCAGGCCUCGGCAAAUAAUAAGUCUCCUGAGUUGUCGCGAUCCGAGCAGGAGACUUUGGACAAGCUGCUCGAUUUUGGAGAGACUCUGAAGCUUCCCGAUUUGCUCAACGAGGAAGCUUUGUUGAAUGUGGGCCUGAGCUCGGCUCAUCCUGAGGGUAAGAGUUACAAAUUUACAACACAGUUUUUUCACAGACCAAAAAUAUUUAGAGGGCACGGACAACUUUGGAGUUUCGGCAGUUGUCGUAAGAAAAGUAUGAAUCCAGGUAUAUCAUACAUUAGGAGGAUAUUUACCUAGUAUUAGAUGGUUACUAAUAUGGUACUAUCUUAUAUAUAAUUUUUUUCAAUAUGUUUGUAGCUGAUGGUGGAUUCAUUUUGGUUUGUCUAUGAAAAAUCUUAAGUGGUUAGCUAUCCGAAUUCUCUCCUAAACGGUCUUCUCGAGUAGCUGUGAACGUAAUCGGUCCACCUUUGUCCUCAUCCACAACAAGCAGAGGAACCGUUUGAUGCAGAAGCGCUUCAACGACCUUGUAUAUAUUCACUACAAUCUGAGGUUGAGGCUGAAAUGUAUUCAAAAGAAAGUGGAGCUAAAGUACACAGAUUCAAUCCAUAGUGCUUUUGUUGAUGAUGAGGAUGAUUUUAUAAUCGGAUAGCUUGAUGAGCGAGGAUUGCCUCCACGACCGACAAGUUUCGUAGCUAGCGAGGCUAGGAUCGACGCAGGACAAUGGGCAGAAAGCAAUAUUUCACGCAUCCUUCCAACUAAUCAGCCAGAAUCAUAUUAGAGCAGGUCACUAUAUGACUCCUUGUCCGAGAUAUCCUCUCGGAGAUAUGAUUGAGCGAUGCUUAGACAAGGCCACUACGCUACUCGGUCGACUCGAUUAGAAGGGCGACAUACAUUCUGCCAAUAUAGCCAGGCAGAGAGGGGCACGAAGGUAAGCAGGCAGCGAGUAGCAUGAAGGGUAAAAAGACAGCUGCUCAGCACAUCAAAAAAGAAAAACAAAAGGCAGCUGUAGCCUCAAUAGAGAGUAUGGAGGAGUCAGUUUACUCAGAUUUAGAAACCAGGGGCACCAGUUCUGGUGGUCAUAGAUCUGCUGACCAACAAGUGGAGGAUAUGAGAUCACUGUUUAUGAGACAGCUGCAGGAUGGUUUUUGAUUUAUUAAUGAGUUCCAGUUUAUGCAUGCUACACAGGAUAGGGACCAUGAUGCACGAUCUGAUUGAGCCCGUGAGGAUCCGAUUGCAUAUAGAAGACGGGCUCCUCGAGGUCAUUCAGGAGGACACGAUGCUGCUACAGAUGACUUCGCACGUGGAAUAGGAUCUAUAGACAUAUCAGAUUUCGAGUCGUAUACUGGAUCUUAUUAUCUAUAGCCACAGGCAGCCUAUGGCUCAUACGGAUACAGAUAUGGAUAUGGUGUGUUUGAGGCAUUUUAUGGAUCGAAUUUUGUUGUCAAUUUAUUCGGAUGGCCCCCUUCAUAGCCGUUUUAUCAACUAGUAUAUUAGCUAGCGGACACCUCUCAGAGCUAGAGCUUCAGCGAGAGAUCCGAGAGUGUUUAUAAUCUGGAGCACAUUCUUUAUGGGAUGAACAUAUAAGACUACAAUGUCAUUUAGUUAGAGGGGUAGGCUGAUGUGCCUCCUAAUUAUGUUAAUAAUCCGGAUAUCUAUAAGAAGCAUCGCUACUCGACGAGAUUGUAGAUAUCGAUAUCUAUGUUGUACUUUAAAUAUAUACAAUUGAUUGUAUUAUUUUAUAUUUUUUACUUCAUUACUUGAUUUGAGGAUAUUUCAUGUUGCUUUUUAUAGCAUGCAAAAUUUUAUUAAUUAUUUUAUGUUUUGUAUUAUUUUAAACUAAUAAGAUGCAUUAUUUAGGUUAAAUCGAGACUAUUGAAUCAUCAAAAAAUAUUAAAAAAAUAUCAAAUUAGACUUAAAA